CAGAGACAACUAUCUGUCCAAUGAGAUUCAGGGUUAAUACUAAGUACGUCGCUGUCUCGUCCGGGUGAAGACGCGUGAGAACACUGGAAAGCCGCUCUGUGAGGAUUGAGCUGUUACACUACGAUGGAGGCCAAGAAACCUGAAGGCAAAGGUAAGGGAGACCCUGGUUUGCAGACCAUAGGAGGACAGAUGGAAAGACCAGACAGCAUUCACAACAUGGAGAGCUUGCUCCCCAAAGCGGUCAAGCGGCGAGUCCACGCCUUGAAGAGGCUGCAGGAGCAGUGUGCCCAUAUCGAAGCCAAGUUCUAUGAAGAAGUUCAUGAACUGGAGAGGAAGUACGCUGCCCUUUACCAGCCCCUCUUUGACAAGAGACGAGAUGUGGUGGUUGGCGCAGUGGAACCCACCGACGAGGACUGUGAAUGGCCCAGCGACAGGGAGGAGGAGGACCUUUUAGCGGAGGAGCUGAAGAAUAAGGCUGCUGUUGAGGAAAAGAAAGAGGAUGCUGCCCCCAAAGAAGACCCUAAAGGCGUUCCUGAGUUCUGGCUCACCAUCUUUAAGAGUGUGGACAUGCUUAGUGACAUGCUGCAGGAACAUGAUGAGCCCAUUCUGAAGCACCUGCUGGAUAUUCAAGUCAAGUUCUCUGAACCAGGACAACCUAUGAGUUUCACAUUAGAGUUCCACUUUGAGCCCAAUGGGUUCUUCAACAAUGCCGUGCUCACUAAAGUCUACAAGAUGAAGUCGGAGCCAGACGCAGAUGAUCCCUUCUCCUUCGAGGGUCCGGAGAUUAUCGACUGUGAAGGAUGUCAGGUUGAUUGGCACAAGGGGAAGGAUGUGACUGUGAAGACCAUUAAGAAGAAACAGAAGCACAAAGGACGUGGCACCGUCCGCACUGUCACCAAGCAGGUGCCCAAUGACUCCUUCUUCAACUUCUUCAACCCUGUCAAAGUUUCACCAGAUGGAGAGAUGGAUGAGGACUCUGAGUUCAACCUAGCCACAGACUUUGAGAUUGGCCAUUUCUUUCGUGAGCGGAUAGUUCCCCGAGCUGUGCUCUACUUCACUGGAGAGGCACUGGAGGAUGACGAAAGUUUUGAGGAGGAAGAACUAGAAGAGGGAGAUGAAGAGGAGGAGGAUGGCGAUGAGGAUGAUGAGGGAGACUUUGACCCUAAGGCAUAAUCAUUCUCACCCCAUUCAUUUCUAGUUGGCCAUUUGGGAUUGAGUUGAAGAAUAAGCGAUGAAAAACUGAUGAAACCCAGUCAGUGUCUCCAUCCGACUUAAUCUUUCUAGCGCCUUAGAAAGAAGAACCCCAGCCCGCAGAGUGUAAACAGCAGUAGCUGCGGACCAAGGGAGCUUGUCCAUCAAAAUUCUGCUGUCCAUCAAAUCCGUUCUCAUCCAGUCAGCAGGUUUUCUCACUUCUGUUGACUGCCUGUUAAGAACUCUCACACAAAUGCAAUAGAACGCAACCCAACAAUGUUUUUAAUACAUGCAUGCCUUUUUUUUUUUUUCUGUCUCCUGCCAUCAUUCAUAACUAAUGCAAAAAUUAUCUGGUCUUAACGAUUUACUCAUGGCAGCGUGGAUUAAGAGCUACUGCCGAGAACAUCCGAAUUAUCUGAAUAAAAUGGCUUGAAUGGAUGGAUCCAAACUUUAGUUUUCAACCAGAAAUCAGUUACUCAGGGUUUUAUAAUGCCAAUAGGAGAUGUUAGUUUCCCAGGAAACUGCUGAACUCGUCUGACUUAAUCACUGGGGUUGCUGUCAAGUAAUUUUUUUUGUGUUUUUAAUAGACACGUUAUAUCAGUGUGACUUUCUUUUCUUUAAUGUUCAAGUUAUUGGACUAUUUAUUCUGGUCUCAUGCAGCUGUACAAAGUGGUGCGUUGUCAGAAAUAAUUCAGUCCUCUGCCACAAUGGUGAAGGCUCAUUCUAAUCGACUGAGCAAAUUCCCAACAAACUUUUAUCACUGCUUUUACAGGUUUUGCAAGACUAACAAAAUGUGUAUACUGCCAAAUUUUAUUUUUAAUGUGACAUGGUCUGAAGCAUUUUGAGAACUUGUUUCUAGCUACUGCUUUGACUGUGCCUGGUUAAUAUAAACAUAACUGCGUUGAGAUAAUGACUUAUUUUAUGGACUAAAAAGAGUUUAAGGCAUAAGUACCCAGCGGUUUAGCUGUGCUUUCUGGCUCUGUCCCCCCCCCACCCACCUCACUUCUGAUAGUAAGCCAAUCUACUAUAUUUGGUAAGAGUUGCAUGACCAUUUGUCCCUUCUGGCAUCUCUCAGGACCAUGUAAAUUUAACAUUGUAACGGAUAUUACAUAAUUUAUACAUUGCUGAUACUUUGUCAUGGUUUCUUGGUUUUGUUUUUUGUAAUACAAUUCGCAAAGAAACAGGGUUAGAUAUACAAAAUGGUCAGAGCGUAACAUGAGUAUAACAUCUUAUUGCACUUACCCAAUCCUGAGACCUGUUGGAAGGCAAUGGGGAGUCUUGAAAGGAGGUGUAGGUUUGUAAUUGGGCCAGAAAAUGUUGUGGCUGUUUAUGCAGCAAUCAUACACUAUGCCCAUUGUCACGUAAAGCUAAAAAAUAUAUCCUGCCUAUAUGUUCUGUAAAUCUUUCCCAGUAACAUACAAACAGAAUCUAAACCUGUAUUACUCUGAAGAAUGCCUGCUGGUGUCUAUAGAAUGUCUCCCCAAAACACGUGACUGCAGCUUGCCCACGUUGUUAGGCUUUUAUCAGCACCUUGAUGCUGGCUGGUACUGUGCUCAUCUUGGUAACGCUAGUCAUCAAUUGUGUGUUACUGCACACCCCCCUCUUUUUUUCUUUUUUCAAAUACAGAUUGUUGAUUUUGAAAGGACAGAUCUCUUGAAGCCACGGUGAUGUCGUCAGCCCUCCCCACCUAAUUGGACUGUGUGCUAGCAAUGGCCUUAUCGGGUUCCUCACAAUUUGUUACCUGCGCAAUAUUAUUUUCAAUUUGUACAAAGUUAGUUAAGAUAUUCUAUUAAAAGUUGUGUGACAAGAC